GACGAACGCUGGCGGCGUGCUUAACACAUGCAAGUCGAACGAAGUGGCGAACGGGUGAGUAACGUGUAAUCAACCUGCCCUUCCGAGGGGGACAACAGUUGGAAACGACUGCUAAUCCCCCAUACUGAUGGGUGGGAUUGAGUUGUCUUAGCUCGUUGGCGGGGUAACGGCCCACCAAGGCGAUGAUAAAUAGCCGGGCUGGGAGUGUGAACGGCCACAGUGGGACUGAGACACGGCCCAGACUCCUACGGGAGGCAGCAGUGGGGAAUCUUCCGCAAUGGACGAAAGUCUGACGGAGCAACGCCGCGGGAGUGAUGACGGGCUUCGGGUUGUAAAGCUCUGUUAAUCGGGACGCGGUACCGGAAUAGAAAGCCACGGCUAACUACGUGCCAGCAGCCGCGGUAAUAC
rnacentral:rRNA from 1 species